rnacentral:rRNA from 1 species
UGCCAGCCGCCGCGGUAAUACGUAGGUGGCGAGCGUUGUUCGGAUUUAUUGGGCGUAAAGGGUCCGCAGGGGGUUUAUUAAGUCUGAUGUGAAAUCCCGAGGCUCAACCUCGGAACUGCAUUGGAUACUGGUAAACUAGAGUAUCGGAGAGGAAAGUGGAAUUCCGGGUGUAGCGGUGGAAUGCGUAGAUAUCUGGAAGAACACCAAGAGCGAAGGCAGCUUUCUGGACGAUCACUGACCCUCAGGGACGAAAGCGUGGGGAGCAAACAGGAUUAGAUA